GUGUACUUGGCUCAAUGAUUAGAGCAUCGCUCAUGACUGCAAACGUUGUGGUACAAGUCCCACAGUUCACA